rfam:Lactobacillus composti DSM 18527 = JCM 14202 strain DSM 18527 NODE_103, whole genome shotgun sequence.
AAUGAACAAGAAGUGGCUAUAAGGCUGUUUGCAGUGGAUAAGGUUGCUUUACAAACCGAAGUCCAAUACUACUCGAAACUGUACGCAGUAAAGCCAAU